rnacentral:rRNA from 1 species
AUACGGAGGGUGCAAGCGUUGUUCGGAAUUACUGGGCGUAAAGCGCGUGUAGGCGGUUUGGUCAGUCUGAUGUGAAAGCCCGGGGCUCAACCCUGGAAGUGCAUUGGAUACUGCCUGACUUGAGUACUGGAGGGGAAAGCGGAAUUCCGAGUGUAGAGGUGAAAUUCGUAGAGAUUCGGAGGAACACCUGUGGCGAAGGCGGCUUUCUGGACAGAUACUGACGCUGAGACGCGAAAGCGUGGGGAGCAAACAGGAUUAGAUACCCUGGUAGUCCACGCAGUAAACGAUGGAUACUAGGUGCUGCGGGUAACCACCCCUGCAGUGCCGUAGCUAACGCAUUAAGUAUCCCGCCUGGGGAGUACGGCCGCAAGGCUAAA